UUCGACCCCAAUCCAUUCCCCAACCUAACCUAGCGCGAACGGCGGCGGCGGCGGCGGUGUGGCCAGUACUGCAAGCAACGGCCAAGGGCCAACGGAGCCGGCGACGGGCGACCAGAUGAAGAAGGGUGUUAGCAUAUUUGCAUUGUGGGAAAGAGCUUCGAAGGCAAAGAAAACAGGUAAUAUACAGAGCAACUGGCCGGAUCCGUAUGUGGUCGUGUGGAAGUCAAGAAGCAUAUGACUUAUGGGUGCAAUCAUUGAGAGACGAUAGCACGGGAUACUUAAAAUUAGUUUGGAUGGCGGUCUAACAAUAGGAUAGGUGUAUAGUUAUCUCGUCCUAUUUUUGCCGGUCAUGGCAUUGAUUCGGCAAUUUUCUUAGCUCAUUUUGAGUUUUCUUUAUCGUACUACAUACUUGUUAGAUUCUUUGUUUAAUAAGAUGGUUGUAUGCAUCGUUUUGAUGCAGAGGCCGGUGUAAUC